rnacentral:rRNA from 1 species
CCUACGGGAGGCAGCAGUGGGGAAUAUUGCACAAUGGGGGAAACCCUGAUGCAGCGACGCCGCGUGAGUGACGAAGUAUUUCGGUAUGUAAAGCUCUAUCAGCAGGGAAGAAGAAAGACGGUACCUGACUAAGAAGCCCCGGCUAACUACGUGACAGCAGCCGCGGUACUUCGGAGGGGGCACGCGUUAUCCGGAUUUACUGGGUGUAUAGGGAGCGUAGACGGCUGUGCAAGUCUGAAGUGAAAGCCCAGGGCUCAACCCUGGGACUGCUUUGGAAACUGGGGAGCUAGAGUGCUGGAGAGGUAAGUGGAAUUCGUAGUGUAGCGGUGAAAUGCGUAGAUAUUAGGAGGAACAUCAGUGGCGAAGGCGACUAACUGGCACAUAACUGACGCUGAGGAGCGAAAGCGUGGGUAGCAAACAGGAUUAGAUACCCCAGUAGUC